AACUUGACGAGAGGUCAGGUGCGUGAAUAUUUCGGACUCCAAUUUUAAGCCCUAGUUAUCGAUGUCACAAAUGCGUUAUCUCACUUUCCAUGCAGAAAAACACAUCGUGCAAUGCAUACUAUUUCAGAAAUAAGGUUUAAAAAAUUGUAAUGCGAAUCGUGUAAUGUCGCAUAGCUCUGUGUGAUAUGGUUGCCCCAUGAAAACUUCCGGUUUCGCUGCAAAUGAAAUACUUUCAAUGUUAGCCUAUUCAUCUCGAUUUACCUCGAAAUAAGAUGAAAUUACGUCUGUUUGCAACGUCAUCCGUCUCAACCUACACGAACAGAGUCUGUUUCCAUGACUGUAGAGUGUCCAUGCUGAACAUUAAUUGUGUACUUGAUUCUUGAAUCAAACAAAUAUUUCAUGAUUUGAUUUACCACUGUCUGUAAUGCGGUGAACAAAGAUAACAUUAACGUUCUGUGCGGAACUUCUAUAUUUUCGGCAUUAAUUUUCCAUGCAAUAAGGAUUAGGAAAUCGAUAAUUCCAACUGGAAGAGCAAAACAUUGUCAGAAAAAUGGCUAUCAACGAAGAUCGAUUCUCCACGACAGCAGAACGAUAUCUAGCAAAGCACAAUGUGCUGACGUAUCUGGAGGAUGGAAUCUCCCAGCUCCUGGAACAUCGGGAAGACAACCCCAAAGUCAACGCCGUCAAGUUCAUCAGUGAUUACUUUGCAAGUCUGCGUGAUGGCAACCACACCAUGUUCCGCGAGUACGCCUUUGUUCGCUCCACGCCACACAAUCGGGCUUCGUUUGUUAAACUUUUCUGGAAGUGCUACAAACAAAUUGGCAAAAAGGGAGAUCUGCUGAGUAUCCAGGAGUACCACUCCCUACUGGGGCUACUGUGUUCAGACUUUCCAUUCAGUAUGGUGCAGAAGACUGCCAGGAUCAUCUUGAUUGACGACGCCCUCGACUGUCUCAUCUGCUUCUCCGACUUCAUCUACGCAUUGCAGGUGCAGUUCUGUUAUGAAGAGUUCCUGGAGAAGAGUGGGGAGAUCUACCAGUCCAUCCUCCAGACACAGCGAAGUCCCCGCGACCCGGUAGUGGUGCCCUCCGCCAGCGCCGGCACCAAGAUCCUCCAGCAGAACCACCAGCCUGCCGACGGCAUCGAUGCCAUGCAGUUCUUCCGAUCACUGUACCCUCUCUGUGAGAGGGUCAGCUUCAGCACACCACCUGUCUCGGCGCUGAAGGAGAUUCUCUUCACGGUUCCCCGGGUGUCCUUCUAUGGCUUUCUAAUGGCCAUUGCCAAGAGCGAGUCCAUCAACGAGCACAUAGGUCGACUGCCACCUAAGACAGCGCUACUGGACACCGGGGAGGCGGAGAUCUCAUCAAUCCCUCCAAUCAAGACUCCCACCAGUGUUUCAAACAAAGGUAACAAAUCCCGGUCGUCUGGGGCCGUGAGUCACCGUGAAUCAGGCUCAAGGGCAUCAUACAGCUCCUCCACGUCAUCCAAUCACAGGUCAAGGUCAACCAUUGGCCUGGUCAAACACCAGAAACGCUCAACGGGAGACAUCGCUGUGGCUGACACAAGUUCUGAGACUGAUUCAUCAUCGGACUCAUCCGACACCAACUAGAUGACGAUCCAUCAGUCAGUGUACGAGACAAACUUAGCGCUACAACUAUCAUAAGUCUGUGUUAAGGUAUGGGCGCUACCGUCUGUCAGUGUACAAGACAAAUAUAGCGCUACAACUAUCAUAAGUCUGUGUUAAGGUAUGGGCGUUACCGUCUGUCAGUGUACAAGACAAAUAUAGCGCUACGACUAUCCUAAGUCUGUGUUAAGGUAUGGGCGUUACCGUCUGUCAGUGUAGAGACAAACUUAGCGCUACGACUAUCCUAAGUCUGUGUUAAGGUAUGGGCGUUACCGUCUGUCAGUGUAGAAGACAAACUUAGCGCUACGACUAUCUUAGUCUGUGUUUAGGUAUGGGCGUUACCGUCUGUCAGUGUAGAAGACAAAUAUAGCCCUACGACUAUCUUAGUCUGUGUUAAGGUAUGGGCGUUACCGUCUGUCAGUGUAGAAGACAAACUUAGCCCUACGACUAUCUUAGUCUGUGUUAAGGUAUGGGAGUUACUGUCACAUUACGGCUAAGGUUGCUUUGUGGUACAUUGGAGUUACAUUCCACUGUGGUGACAGUGUACCCAUUUCUCAAAAAUACAGGACAUGUACUGUCAAGCACAGGUCCUCAGUUCUUGAGACUUCCAGGGUAUCAUUGGCAACGGUUGCUACAAGGGGAUAAGCUGACCGGAGUGAUGCUGUGUUGUUAAGUUCGUUUGUUGGUGAAUGGUUUUGUGUUGAAUGUCAUGUCUUGGGUUUUCUGAAAAACUCAAUUGUGAUAUUGCUUAUCCAUGUAUAAUAUAUCUUCAUUGACAAGAAAGUGGUUUUGUAUUUUCUGUGAUAGUCUAUCUGCAUAAAAGUGAUGAAUAUC